CAGCAGCCGCGGGAAUACGUAGGGUGCGAGCGUUAAUCGGAAUUACUGGGCGUAAAGCGUGCGCAGGCGGUUAUAUAAGACAGAUGUGAAAUCCCCGGGCUCAACCUGGGACCUGCAUUUGUGACUGUAUAGCUAGAGUACGGUAGAGGGGGAUGGAAUUCCGCGUGUAGCAGUGAAAUGCGUAGGUAUGCGGAGGAACACCGAUGGCGAAGGCAAUCCCCUGGACCUGUACUGACGCUCAUGCACGAAAGCGCGGGGAGCAAACAGGAUUAGAUACCCCUGUAGUCCCUGUCUCUUAUAA
rnacentral:rRNA from 1 species